GAGUUUUCGUAAAUACGCCGACUGCGCCCUCCUGUGGUCAACGCCAGCAUUACAACAAAACGAGCCAUAAAAAAACCCUGUCUGUCUUCAAGCUGAAUAAAUGCUCGACUUUCUGUUGCAGAAAGUGAAAGUGCGGGUGGUUACAAACGUACUGAAACAGUUGGAUAAACGUCUGCCUUCUCGAGACUCGCAGCAGCUGCAGGGGGCACUUUGAGGCCUGUUAUGCGCUCUGAAAAGCGCAUUACCACACCGCCUUGGUCUCCGAGAUUUCAACAAACGGGUCGCGCUGACUCGAAAAUGGCUCCAUCUGAUGGUUAGUUUAGCUCGAUUUCUGGUGGAAGGUGGUCUACUUCCCAGACAUCUUGCGGAUCAUGUAGUUCAGAAAUUGUGUCCUGCUGUGGUUUUGUCCCCAGAGACCCCCCCCCCCCCCCCUCUGACCACUGGGAGCCCGGACGGAGGAUGUGACAGCAUUGGUUCUCACGAUCCUCGCAGCCCUGCUCUUCCUCCGUGUUACCCCCAACCCCUCUUCUUCCUCCUCUUCCGGCCCCAGCCCCUUUCGUGUCAUUAUACACAGUAUACAAAGACCCCUGGGUGGAGAUGCACAGAAUAUGCAACAGCUCUUUCUGUUUGGCUCAAUCAGUGCCAAACGAUGACACUUGCACGAUAAACCCCUUGACCUACUUUACUAUGGCAAAUGGCCUGAUUGUGUAGUGGCAGGUAUAAGCCUGAAGUGGGCCAGGUGUACAGG
ensembl:lncRNA